rnacentral:rRNA from 1 species
AUGGCAGCUGGGAUGCGCUUCCUGCAGCUGUUCGCCGCCGUUCUCGCGUUCUGCUUCGUGCAGGCCAGGUCCGACUACUGGCAUCAGGCCUACGCCACCUUCUACGGCGGCGCCGACGGUGCUGAAACAAUGGGUGGCGCAUGUGGGUACGAUAACCUGUACGCUGCGGGGUACGGGCUCAACAACGCGGCGCUGAGCACGGUGCUGUUCAACAACGGCUUGUCCUGCGGGCAAUGCUACCUCAUCACCUGCGACACCAGCAAGUCGAAUAUGUGCAAGCCCGGCACAUCCAUCACCGUGUCCGCCACCAACUUGUGCCCUCCCAACUGGGCUCUCGCCAACGACAACGGCGGGUGGUGCAAUCCUCCCCGUGAACACUUCGACAUGUCCCAGCCUGCCUGGGAGAACCUCGCCAUCUACCGCGCUGGCAUUGUCCCUGUCCUCUACCAGCGGGUCGCGUGCCAAAGGCAGGGUGGCCUGCGUUUCACCAUGAGCGGCUUCAACUACUUCGAGCUGGUACUGGUGACCAACAUCGCCAUGAGCGGGUCGAUCAGGAGCAUGUCAGUGAAGGGGACCAACACGGCGUGGAUCACGAUGUCCCAGAACUGGGGCGCUAACUGGCAGUGCCUAGCGGGGCUGAAAGGGCAGGCGCUCAGCUUCGGCAUCACCUCCUCCGGCGGCCAGUACAAGGUCUUCCAGGACGUCGUGCCGGCCUGGUGGCUGUUCGGACAGACCUUCUCCACAUGGCAACAGUUCGACUACUAG